rnacentral:misc_RNA from 1 species
CCCCCUUUUUCGUCUCUCUGUGCGCAAGCUGGCGUAUUGCGAUACAGCGCAUUCUCUUCCAGAGAUUCUUUUUUUUAUUUCGUUGCUUCGAUUGACGCUCCACACCUCCUCGCUGGUUUGCCGCUCUCGGGCUCAUCGCUUCCGCCUUUUCUUCCGUUUCGCUGACGUACAGGGCCACUGCCAUCGAUGCGACUAGAUUAGCCUUGCGUGGUUGCUUUUUUUUUUUUGCGUGCCUCCUGCAGUGUACGCUAACGGCGUACGCACGCGCGCCGCAGCCUACGUGAUCUCACUGGCGGCAGAAAGACUUUGCAGCCAGGAGCUCACGCCGAGAAAGCGCAUGCACGAGUGUGUUUCGUGUGCCGUAGAAACGCACGCGUUCGUCCCUGAACUUCCCCCGCUGUCGAGGGCCCCCCCUCCCCCACGGGCUAUUCUGUGUCUUGCGCCGCUGAAGUUCCUACCGUGUUGCCACUACCACUACCCCUUUUGGGCAGUAGCGGUGUGGUGCCUCAGUGAUCCCGUCGUGCGAGCGCACCGAAGCCGAGAAGCCGGCAGCUGCGUGGUGCGAUGCAUGAAUAUCGUCUCACAGCAGCAUAGGCAUACACAGACACACACACACACACACACAUUCACGCAGCGAGACGCGGCGUUUUUUUGUGCCUCUGAGUCGGACGUGGGUCCGCUGAAGCCCCUCUGCUCGAUUUGUGCAUGUCGAUUUUGAGGGUUUGACUGGCUGCGAAAUCAUAACGGCAGCAGUACUGCAGGCAAGAGGAAAAGUAUAUCCAUCAAGCGGCGCACAUCAGGCAGAAGACAGAGCGAGUCGAUUUCUUUCUGUACAUUUCACUCUUUCUCUUCCACUUAUUCCUACACGCACGCGGUCAGCGGCAGGCUCAUACACCUGUAUCACUAACGUGCGUGUGAGCCAUGGAAAGCUCUCACUCCGACGGGCAUGGGGAGGAGAGCCUGAGUAGCACGCAAAUGCUCUGGUACAGCGUCGCGGCGGUGGUGUGCGUGGCGAGUGCCGGCUUCUUUGUCGGCCUCCAAAUCGCGCUCUUUUCGAUUGACCGCCUCUUCCUCCGCGUCCUCAGCACCACUGGCACACCUAAGGAGCGCCAGCAGGCCAAGUCGCUGCUCGCUGUGCUGAAAUUGCAGCACUGGACUCUCGUAGCGCUCGUCUUGAUGAACGCCGUAUUCGUCAUGACGCUGCCGAUUCUCCUGGAGACGAUGUUCGACGAGAUCACCGCCCUCAUCGUGUCCAUCACGGCUGUCCUCUUCGCCGGCGAGGUCCUGCCGCUCGCUGUCUUUGUCCGCUGGGCUAUUCCGGUGUGCUCCUACUUCAUUCACGCUAUCUGGUUCGCUAUUAUCGUGACAGCGCCAGUAAGCUAUCCGAUGGGCAAGGUGCUUGACCGCGUGCUGGGGCACAGCGAGGAGCCGCUCGACCGCGAGGAUUUGGCCGCCUUGAUUGUCGGUCCGCGGCUGGGCGAAAACGAAGAGGAGAGCACAAUGAUGGAGGUCACAUCUGUGCGAGUGGGCGAUGGCGAUGGCGGCGGCGAGAGCGCGCAGACCGCCAAGGAAAAGAGUUCGCCGGGCCAGCUGCGUGAUUCGGAGGUGAAGAUGUUGCAGGCGGCUAUGCUGCUCUCGACCGACACGGUGCAGCAGCAUCUGCGCACAAAAGCGGAGGACGCCUUCAUGCUGUCCUCCCACGACAGCCUCGAUCGAGAAACGAUUCUGUGCAUCUUGACCACCGGCUACAGCCGUGUGCCAGUGUACUUUGGUGAGGAUCGCCGGCACAUCAUUGGCGUCCUCAUCGUAAACUCGCUCGUGUCGCUCUGUUUUUCUCAUCCAGACCCACCGCCACUGGUGAGCGACUACUCCCUCCGCGAAGUCCUGAGGCUUUCUCAGGAGGCGUCCCUCUACGAUGCCUAUCUCGCCUUUCGCAAUGGGCCGUCCAAUAUGGCAAUUAUCUACGACCCCUCCGGGGCCAUGGCUGGCCUUCUGACGCUGAAUGACGUGCUGGCGAUACUCUACAACGCCGACCCGGUGGCGCCGGCAACAUUGUCGGAGCAGUACCUGCGCCGCCAGCGCAAGAUGGUGGAGCUUGUGGAAGGCAUGAAGGUCCUGCAGGCCACAAAACGCGUUGUACCGGUGUCGGUAAGCACGAGCCGGCUCGGUGGGGCGGGCCCCCAAGAUGUGCAGAAGGACGAUGCGCAAGACCAGACUGCCACCAUCGGCACCCUUAUUCCGGCUGCUCGGCACGGCCUGUCGCUCGCGAAACCGACGCCGCUGCCGCGGUCCUUUAUGCCGCUAGCCGGCGACCAGCUCUUUGCUUCCACGCCCUUUCUCUCCACGUCUAGUCCAACUCGUUCGGCUGAGUCCAAGACUGGCCACGAGGGCACCGCCUUGAGAGGAGCCACCUCCCCUUGAAGACGCUCAGCGUCUCAGCUCGGCCUCUUUUUUCUUGUUUUGCACGUAUGCUCGGGUUGGGAUCGCCUUGGAGAGGAGGGAUAGGGAUCUGCACAAGAAAAAAAGGGACCGCGUACGCGCGCGUCAUGUUCUUGCUCGUGCAGAGCACGUGUGCGUGCAAGUAUGUUUCUUCUUCCUUUUGUGUGUGUGUGUGUCGUAUCACCAAAGCCUCUCUCCCUCUCCUCCCUUCCACGUCUCCCUGGCCUGUGGCUUACCCUCCCCCUUCUCGUUUGUUUUCCCCACGUCCUCCGCCUCUCAUCAUGCCGCAGGAUCGUUCUCUUAGUUGCUCGGACGCCACUCUCUGAUUCCUUUUCCUGUUUUGUGUUUUUCUGCUGAUUCGGGAGCAUGUGCGCUGCUACCUCCCACCACUCCGGAUGCAACUAUCCUCAUUAUUAAGCAUCUGCCGGCUCUCUUCCUCGUUGGCGUGCCCUUGCCCUUUUUCUUGUUCGUCGUCGAAAACCAGAUCUGCAUGUGUGCAACCAGUGAAGCAGUUCUGCGUGCGAGCCAUGCCGAUGCUGUGGUGUCGCCGUGGGUAGUGCUGGGCGUUGUGACAGCAAUGGCAGUGACCGCGAUGGUAGGGGUGCGCUCCUCGAGUAUGGCCCUGUGGCCCCUCUGUCCCCUCGUGCAGGUGUUUGAGGACGGUACUUUGCAUGUCCCUCCCGUUCUGUUUAUCUUUCUUUUUAUUUCGUAGGAGGGAGGUGGGAGGAGGAGGAGGAGGAGGAGGGGGGCUUUCCGGAUUUGUGUGAGGGUGUCAUGGGUACGCCGGAUCCCGUGCAUUCACCGGCGUGACGAGUUUGUGUGUCUGCGGGAGGGUGAGGUUGCUUGCGUGUGUGUGUGUGCAAUGCUCCCCCCCCCGUGUUUGCCAAUGGCCUGCUUUGCAU